rnacentral:rRNA from 1 species
GGCUGGCGCGUGCCUACUGCAGUCGAGCGAAUGGUUAAGAGCUUGCUCUUAUGAAGUUAGCGGCGGACGGGUGAGUAACACGUGGGUAACCUGCCCAUAAGACUGGGAUAACUCCGGGAAACCGGGGCUAAUACCGGAUAACAUUUUGAACCGCAUGGUUCGAAAUUGAAAGGCGGCUUCGGCUGUCACUUAUGGAUGGACCCGCGUCGCAUUAGCUAGUUGGUGAGGUAACGGCUCACCAAGGCAACGAUGCGUAGCCGACCUGAGAGGGUGAUCGGCCACACUGGGACUGAACACGGCCCAACUCCUACGGGAGGCAGCAGUAGGGAAUCUUCCGCAAUGGACGAAAGUCUGACGGAGCACGCCGCGUGAGUGAUGAAGGCUUUCGGUCGUAAAACUCUGUUGUUAGGGAAGAACAAGUGCUAGUUGAAUAAGCUGGCACCUUGACGGUACCUAACCAGAAAGCCACGGCUACUACUGCCGCAGCCCGGUAAUACGUAGUGGCAAGCGUUAUCCGGAAUUAUUGGGCUAAAGCGCGCGCAGUGGUUCUUAAGUCUGAUGUGAAAGCACGUCACCGUGGAGGGCAUUGAAACUGGGAACUGAGUG